rnacentral:tRNA from 2 species
UUCCCAUUAGUCUAGCUGGUUAUAAUACAAGGUUUUCGCCCUUGAGACCCGGGUUCAAGUCCCGGAUGGGAAU